GACGAACGCUGGCGGCGUGCUUAACACAUGCAAGUCGAACGCUGAAGCUUGGUGCUUGCACUGGGUGGAUGAGUGGCGAACGGGUGAGUAAUACGUGAGUAACCUGCCCUUGACUCUGGGAUAAGCCUGGGAAACUAGGUCUAAUACUGGAUAUGACAUGCCACUGCAUGGUGGUGUGUGGAAAGGGUUUUACUGGUUUUGGAUGGGCUCACGGCCUAUCAGCUUGUUGGUGGGGUAAUGGCCUACCAAGGCGACGACGGGUAGCCGGCCUGAGAGGGUGACCGGCCACACUGGGACUGAGACACGGCCCAGACUCCUACGGGAGGCAGCAGUGGGGAAUAUUGCACAAUGGGCGGAAGCCUGAUGCAGCGACGCCGCGUGAGGGAUGACGGCCUUCGGGUUGUAAACCUCUUUCAGCACGGAAGAAGCGAGAGUGACGGUACGUGCAGAAGAAGCGCCGGCUAACUACGUG
rnacentral:rRNA from 1 species